ensembl:rRNA 5S_rRNA 5S ribosomal RNA
GUCUAUGGCCAUACCACCCUGAACGCACCCGAUCUCGUCUGAUCUCAGAAGCUAAGCAGGGUCGGGCCUGGUUAGUACUUGGAUGGGAGACCGCCAGGGAAUACCGGGUGCUGUAGGCU